AUGCACACCGACGUGGUGCCGUACAUCUCCCUGGUCAUGCUCAGCGUCCAGGCUCUCGGCUACGGCAUCCCGCUGGUCACGGGCGUCGAGGCGAUCCUCGCGAGGGUCACAUUGCGCUCGUCCGGCGACCUCGCCAAGGCGACGUCUUCCGAGCGAACUCCCUACUAUAUGUUUGACACGGGACGGCUGUGCGAGACCAUCGGCCAGGCGGUGAAGGUCCUCACGGUAUGCGCCUUCAUCCUCACGGUGCGCCUCGGCCAGAAGGUGCGGCGCUCGAGGGCGCGCAAGGUGGAGCGGUCGCCGCUGGACCCGGCCCGCGUGCCGAGCGACGGCAGGGUGUUCGUCUACCACUGCGGCAUUCACCUGGUGCUCUUCGUGCUCAUCCUCGCGCUCAACAGGGAGGGCAUGACCGCCGAGCAGCAGGUGGCGCUGAUGCAGGAUCUGUUCCUCCUCCCGCAGGCGAUUGGCAACGCCAUGUGGCGGGUCAACUGCAGGCCGCUCAAGGGGAGCUUCUACGUCGGCGUCACCUUCGUGCGCCUGCUGCCGCACGCGUAUGAAUACGGAGGGCCGCCGGCUGAUUUCCGUUCGCGCUCGGUCGACGUCGGUGCCGGCAGUGAUGGGCGCUUCUUCGCCAAGGCCGGCGACAUGGUGAUACCGCUUGCCGCCGUCGCGCUCGCGCUCGUGGUGCACGCCCAGCAGCGAUGGAACUACGCGAUUGUUAGUAGGAUGGGCAAGCCGGAGCAGAAGAAGCUGCAUCACAUCUUCUAA
rnacentral:rRNA from 1 species